rnacentral:rRNA from 1 species
CCUACGGGAGGCAGCAGUGAGGAAUAUUGGUCAAUGGGCGGGAGCCUGAACCAGCCAAGUAGCGUGAAGGAUGACAGCCCUAUGGGUUGUAAACUUCUUUUAUAAGGGAAUAAAGUGCAGGAUGUAUGCGGCUUUGCAUGUACCUUAUGAAUAAGCAUCGGCUAACUCGGUGCCAGCAGCCGCGGUAAUACGGAGGAUCCGAGCGUUAUCCGGAUUUAUUGGGUUUAAGGGGAGCGUGGGGGGGUUUUUAAGUCAGAGGUAAAAUUUUGCGGCUCAACCGUAAAUUGCAGUUGAAUCUGGGAUCCUUGAGUACAGUAGAGGUAGGCGGAAUUCGUGGUGUAGCGGUGAAAUGCUUAGAUAUCACGAAGAACUCCGAUUGCGAAGGCAGCCUGCUGGACUGUAACUGACGCUGAGGCUCGAAAGUGUGGGUAUCAAACAGGAUUAGAUACCCUUGUAGUC